rnacentral:rRNA from 1 species
UAGGGAAUUUUCCACAAUGGGCGAAAGCCUGAUGGAGCAACGCCGCGUGCAGGAUGAAUGCCUUCGGGUUGUAAACUGCUUUUCUCUGUGACGAUUAUGACGGUAGCAGAGGAAUAAGGAUCGGCUAACUCCGUGCCAGCAGCCGCGGUCAUACGGAGGAUCCAAGCGUUAUCCGGAAUUACUGGGCGUAAAGAGUUGCGUAGGUGGCAGAGUAAGUUGGUAGUGAAAGCGUGUGGCUCAACCAUACAUCCAUUACCAAAACUGCUCAGCUAGAGGACGAGAGAGGUAGAUGGAAUUCUUGAUGGAGGGGUAAUAUCCGUAGAUAUCAGGAGGAACACCGAUGGCGUAAGCAGUCUACUGGCUCGUUCCUGACACUCAGGCACGAAAGCGUGGGGAGCAAACGGGAUUAGAUACCCGGGUAGUCC